CGCUGGCGGCGUGCCUCAGACAUGCAAGUCGAACGAUUAAGACUUCCUUCGGGAAGUGCAUAAAGUGGCGCACGGGUGAGUAACACGUAAGUAAUCUACCCUCGAGUGGGGAAUAACGUUCGGAAACGGACGCUAAUACCGCAUAACGCAGCGGCACCGCAAGGUGACAGUUGUUAAAGGAGCAAUCCGCUUGAGGAGGAGCUUGCGGCAGAUUAGCUAGUUGGUAGGGUAAUGGCUUACCAAGGCUACGAUCUGUAUCCGGUCUAAGAGGACGGUCGGACACACUGACACUGAAUAACGGGUCAGACUCCUACGGGAGGCAGCAGUCGGGAAUUUUGGGCAAUGGGCGAAAGCCUGACCCAGCAACGCCGCGUGAAGGAUGAAGUAUUUCGGUAUGUAAACUUCGAAAGAAUAGGAAGAAUAAAUGACGGUACUAUUUAUAAGCUCCGGCUAACUACGUG
rnacentral:rRNA from 1 species